rnacentral:rRNA from 1 species
AGUGAACGCUGGCGGUAGGCCUAACACAUGCAAGUCGAACGGCAGCACAGGAGAGCUUGCUCUCUGGGUGGCGAGUGGCGGACGGGUGAGGAAUACAUCGGAAUCUGCCCAGUCGUGGGGGAUAACGUAGGGAAACUUACGCUAAUACCGCAUACGACCUUCGGGUGAAAGAGGGGGAUCGCAAGACCUCUCGCGAUUGGAUGAGCCGAUGUCGGAUUAGCUAGUUGGCGGGGUAAUGGCCCACCAAGGCGACGAUCCGUAGCUGGUCUGAGAGGAUGAUCAGCCACACUGGAACUGAGACACGGUCCAGACUCCUACGGGAGGCAGCAGUGGGGAAUAUUGGACAAAGGGCGCAAGCCUGAUCCAGCCAUACCGCGUGGGUGAAGAAGGCCUUCGGGUUGUAAAGCCCUUUUGUUGGGAAAGAAAACUUUCAGGCUAAUACCCUGGGAGGAUGACGGUACCCAAAGAAUAAGCACCGGCUAACUUCGUG